UACGUAGGGGGCGAGCGUUGUCCGGAUUUAUUGGGCGUAAAGAGCUCGUAGGCGGUUCGAUAAGUCGGAUGUGAAAUCUCCACGCUCAACGUGGAGGGGCCAUUCGAUACUGUCGUGACUCGAGUCCGGUAGGGGAGUGUGGAAUUCCCGGUGUAGCGGUGAAAUGCGCAGAGAUCAGGAGGAACACCCGUAGCGAAGGCGGCACUCUGGGCCGAUACUGACACUGAGGAGCGAAAGCGUGGGGAGCGAACAGG
rnacentral:rRNA from 1 species